ACCCGCUGAACUUAAGCAUAUCAAUAAGCGGAGGAAAAGAAACUAACAAGGAUUCCCCUAGUAACUGCGAGUGAAGCGGGAAAAGCUCAAAUUUAAAAUCUGGCGGUCUUAUGGCCGUCCGAGUUGUAAUCUGGAGAAGUGUUUUCCGCGUCGGACCGUGUACAAGUCUCCUGGAACGGAGCGUCAUAGAGGGUGAGAAUCCCGUCCAUGACACGGACCGCCGAUGCUUUGUGAUACACUCUCGAAGAGUCGAGUUGUUUGGGAAUGCAGCUCAAAAUGGGUGGUAAAUUCCAUCUAAAGCUAAAUAUUGGCGAGAGACCGAUAGCGAACAAGUACCGUGAGGGAAAGAUGAAAAGCACUUUGGAAAGAGAGUUAAACAGUACGUGAAAUUGUUGAAAGGGAAACGCUUGAAGUCAGUCGCGUCUUUCAGAACUCAGCCUUGCUUCGGCCUGGUGUACUUUCUGUUAGACGGGUCAACGUCAAUUUCGAUCGGCGGAGAAAGGUUGAGGGAAUGUAGCGUUGUUUCGGCGACGUGUUAUAGCCCUCUUCUGUAUACGUCGGCUGGGAUUGAGGACCGCAGCGCGCCUUUAUGGCCAGGGGUUCGCCCCAUGUACCGCGCUUAGGAUGUUGGCAUAAUGGCUUUAAGCGACCCGUCUUGAAACACGG
rnacentral:rRNA from 1 species